UUCUCUACAUAUGUCACCAAAACCACUAUUAUCUCAUGCCAGAAGUGUUACAAUCGAAUGAGUUUUAGCUCUAUGUGCUAUAGUUACAUCACAGACAGCUGUCUAAGCAUCUGCACUAGUCCAGGACUGGUAAAUCCAUAGCUCAUAUGCUGCCUCCCACUCCUUCUCACACCAUUGGCAGACAUCAUUAGUUGAUCACUGCACUCUUUCUCCAUUGAGCGCCACCAUUCUUCCCAACACAGUCUAUACAAAGCACUCCUAAUCCUGGCUCUGUGCUCUGAAUGAAGAAUUAGGAGACAAGGCAUUGUACAGGUCUCUUGCAGGGAGGGGCAAUCUAUUGUGGGAUGGUCUGGAUAUGACCCUUUGGAAAUCCUGCUUUUAAUGAACUGAUGAGGAAAGACCCUGGGAAUUGAGCUACAGAGAGAUUAAGCUACUUGCUCAAGGUGACAACAGACACUCACGGGGCAGCAGUGAAGGAGCUGUGUUUACAUGACACUUAAUAUCCAGGAAGGCAUUUCAUAUAUGGGGGUGCCCAUAUCCAAGUAAUCCAACCCCAUGGACUUGGACCAGUGGUGAGCUCAAGAUGAUCUCCACCAUUUGCUUGGCUGUCACCACCUCUGCAACCUGCGGGAAUCGGCUGAUGGCUCCAGAGAAUGACUCCAGCCUUUCAAAUUGAAAAAUGUGACCAAACUACAAAACACUGACACCAUAGAAACUUGGUGAAGAAGGAUAUGGAAGAUCAUCUCAUCAACCUCCUUAUUUUACUUAAGGUAAUAGAGACUGAGAAAAGUUAGCCGAUUUUCCCAACGUGGUACUGUGGCAAAUCUGGGACCAGGUCUUCUA